rnacentral:rRNA from 1 species
GAUGAACGCUGGCGGCGUGCCUAAUACAUGCCAGUCGAGCGAACAGACGAGGAGCUUGCUCCUCUGACGUUAGCGGCGGACGGGUGAGUAACACGUGGAUAACCUACCUAUAAGACUGGGAUAACUUCGGGAAACCGGAGCUAAUACCGGAUAAUAUAUUGAACCGCAUGGGUCAAUAGUGAAAGACGGUUUUGCUGGCACUUAUAGAGGGAUCCGCGCCGCAUUAGCUAGUUGGUAAGGUAACGGCUUACCAAGGCGACGAUGCGUAGCCGACCUGAGAGGGUGAUCGGCCACCCUGGAACUGAGACACGGUCCAGCCUCCUACGGGAGGCAGCAGUAGGGAAUCUUCCGCAAUGGGCGAAAGCCUGACGGAGCAACGCCGCGUGAGUGAUGAAGGUCUUCGGAUCGUAAAACUCUGUUAUUAGGGAAGAACAAAUGUGUAAGUAACUAUGCACGUCUUGACGGUACCUAAUCAGAAAGCCACGGCUAACUACGUG